rnacentral:rRNA from 1 species
GACGAACGCUGGCGGCGUGCCUAAUACAUGCAAGUAGAACGCUGAAGCGAGGAGCUUGCUCUUCUUGGAUGAGUUGCGAACGGGUGAGUAACGCGUAGGUAACCUGCCUUGUAGCGGGGGAUAACUAUUGGAAACGAUAGCUAAUACCGCAUAACAAUGGAUGACACAUGUCAUUUAUUUGAAAGGGGCAAUUGCUCCACUACAAGAUGGACCUGCGUUGUAUUAGCUAGUAGGUGAGGUAAUGGCUCACCUAGGCGACGAUACAUAGCCGACCUGAGAGGGUGAUCGGCCACACUGGGACUGAGACACGGCCCAGACUCCUACGGGAGGCAGCAGUAGUGAAUCUUCGGCAAUGGGGGCAACCCUGACCGAGCAACGCCGCGUGAGUGAAGAAGGUUUUCGGAUCGUAAAGCUCUGUUGUAAGUCAAGAACGGGUGUGAGAGUGGAAAGUUCACACUGUGACGGUAGCUUACCAGAAAGGGACGGCUAACUACGUG